rnacentral:rRNA from 1 species
UACGUAGGGGGGCUAGCGUUGUCCGGAUUUAUUGGGCGUAAAGGGCGCGUAGGUGGCCUUCUAAGUCGAACGUGAAAUCCCUGGGCUCAACCCAGGAACUGCGUCCGAGACUGGGAGGCUUGAAUCCGGGAGAGGGAUGCGGAAUUCCAGGUGUAGCGGUGAAAUGCGUAGAUAUCUGGAGGAACACCGGUGGCGAAGGCGGCAUCCUGGACCGGGAUUGACACUGAGGCGCGAAAGCCAGGGGAGCAAAACGGG